GUAGCUGAAGGUACAGUAUGAAUAAGCACCGGGCUAACUCCGUGCCAGCAGCCGCGGUAAUACGGAGGGGUGCAAGCGUUAUCCGGAUUUAUUGGGUUUAAAGGGUCCGUUGGCGGACUCGUAAGUCAGUGGUGAAAUCUCAUAGCUUAACUAUGAAACUGCCAUUGAUACUGCGGGUCUUGAGUAAAGUAGAAGUGGCUGGAAUAAGUAGUGUAGCGGUGAAAUGCAUAGUUAUUACUUAGAACACCAAUUGCGAAGGCAGGUCACUAUGUUUUAACUGACGCUGAUGGACGAAAGCGUGGGGAGCGAACAGGAUUAGAUACCCUGGUAGUCCACGCCGUAAACGAUGCUAACUCGUUUUUGGGACUUCGGUUUCAGAGACUAAGCGAAAGUGAUAAGUUAGCCACCUGGGGAGUACGUUCGCAAGAAUGAAACUCAAAGGAAUUGACGGGGGCCCGCACAAGCGGUGGAUUAUGUGGUUUAAUUCGAUGAUACGCGAGGAACCUUACCAAGGCUUAAAUGGGAAUUGAUGGGUUUAGAAAUAGUUCGUCCUUCGGGCAAUUUUCAAGGUGCUGCAUGGUUGUCGUCAGCUCGUGCCGUGAGGUGUUAGGUUAAGUCCUGCAACGAGCGCAACCCCUGUCACUAGUUGCCAUCAUUAAGUUGGGGACUCUAGUGAGACUGCCUACGCAAGUAGAGAGGAAGGUGGGGAUGACGUCAAAUCAUCACGGCCCUUACGCCUUGGGCCACACACGUAAUACAAUGGCCGGUACAGAGGGCAGCUACACAGCGAUGUGAUGCGAAUCUCGAAAGCCGGUCUCAGUUCGGAUUGGAGUCUGCAACUCGACUCUAUGAAGCUGGAAUCGCUAGUAAUCGCGCAUCAGCCAUGGCGCGGUGAAUACGUUCCCGGGCCUUGUACACACCGCCCGUCAAGCCAUGGAAGUCUGGGGUACCUGAAGUUCG
rnacentral:rRNA from 1 species